ACAGAGUUAAAACCACGAGAUGUACACCCUGUCAGUUGUUGAUCUUGGUAUUAGUCUUUUGUUUCUAAGUAUCGUCACGCAAAAAUCUGAAGCGCAGAAUUGUUCUGACACAAACGUUCAGUCCUGUCUCCCAGCUUACGAGAGCGUGAAAACACAGGCAGCACAAGACAAGAACAAAAUAUGCAGUUUCCAAACCAUUCAGCCUUGCUCGUAAAAGUAAAAAGAAGAAGAAGAAGAAGAAGGAUGGGGAUGAUGACGACGACGAUGGUAACAAUUUUAGUGGUGCAGGAGGUAUUCACCUCAACCUGGCUGUCUUUGGUUUAGGACUUACAUUUUAUGCGCUUGUUUAGAUACCGUAUUUUUAUACAUCAAUUUGAAUAAACUACAUAUAUAUGUAUUUGUUUACAAAACUGUUUAGGAUUAUUGCUCUCAUUCUAAUUUACUUUGCAAAUUUGAACUGAUUGAUUAAAAUACGAACAAAUGAGAAAAAUCUGU